AAGUCUGCUUAACUGACGUGUCUGGAGAGAGAAACAUGUGGGAUGGAAUGCGGAAGCAGGAAGCAUUCCUUCUGUUCUUCUGUCAGACUGAGCACAGCUGCAGCCACGUGCUCAUUCCACAGAACAGAAGACACCUUUAAAGUUUCUGGAGAAUGAUUAAACCAUUGUGUUUCAAAUCUCUCAUCGGGCUCCCGUGAGAUGUUAGCAAUGCACACACAGUUCUGAGCAGGGCUCGAGACCAAGAGGGAGGGAUUUACCUCAGUCAGCUGCUGCAGAAAAAUUUCACUCGGGAACUCCCAACAAUAGCACACAGGAUUUCCCAGGGGGUGUGUCCAUGCAGUGAUGACGGAGUCAGGGUUGGCCAUAACUUUCACUCCAUCAGGAGAAGAUGUGAGACAAAUGUUUAACCGACACAUCAAAUCUCUACCCAAAAGGUUGACCGGACAAACAUCAGACAGCAGAAAUGAAUGUUUAAAUUUACACCCCGAGAGCAAAUUACACC